rnacentral:misc_RNA from 1 species
GAUGAAGAACGUAGCGAAAUGCGAUAAGUAAUGUGAAUUGCAGAAUUUAGUGAAUCAUCGAAUCUUUGAACGCACAUUGCGCCCGCCAGUAUUCUGGCGGGCAUGCCUGUUCGAGCGUCAUUUCAACCAUCAAGCCCCCGGCUUGUGUUGGGGACCUGCGGCUGCCGCAGGCCCUGAAAACCAGUGGCGGGCUCGCUGUCACACCGAGCGUAGUAGAUUUUCAUCUCGCUCAGGGCGUGCUGCGGGUUCCGGCCGUAAAAAGCCUUAUUUACCCAAGGUUGACCUCGGAUCAGGUAGGAAGACCCGCUGAACUUAAGCAUAUCAAUAAGCGGAGGA